rnacentral:rRNA from 1 species
UACAGAGGGUGCGAGCGUUGUCCGGAAUCACUGGGCGUAAAGGGCGCGUAGGCGGCUCGGUAAGGUUGCGGUGAAAGCCCGGAGCUCAACUCCGGAACUGCCAUUGGAACUGUGAAACUUGAGGACGAGAGAGGUGAGUGGAAUUCCUGGUGUAGCGGUGAAAUGCGUAGAUAUCAGGAGGAACACCGGUGGCGAAGGCGGCUCUCUGGACGGUGACUGACGCUGAGACGCGAAAGCGUGGGGAGCAAACAGG